AGAGUUUGAUCCUGGCUCAGGAUGAACGCUAGCUACAGGCUUAACACAUGCAAGUCGAGGGGCAGCAUGAACUUAGCUUGCUAAGUUUGAUGGCGACCGGCGCACGGGUGAGUAACACGUAUCCAACCUGCCGAUGACUCGGGGAUAGCCUUUCGAAAGAAAGAUUAAUACCCGAUGGCAUAGUUCUUCCGCAUGGUGGAACUAUUAAAGAACUUCGGUCAUCGAUGGGGAUGCGUUCCAUUAGGUUGUUGGCGGGGUAACGGCCCACCAAGCCUUCGAUGGAUAGGGGUUCUGAGAGGAAGGUCCCCCACAUUGGAACUGAGACACGGUCCAAACUCCUACGGGAGGCAGCAGUGAGGAAUAUUGGUCAAUGGACGAGAGUCUGAACCAGCCAAGUAGCGUGAAGGAUGACUGCCCUAUGGGUUGUAAACUUCUUUUAUACGGGAAUAAAGUGAGGCACGUGUGCCUUUUUGUAUGUACCGUAUGAAUAAGGAUCGGCUAACUCCGUGCCAGCAGCCGCGGUAAUACGGAGGAUCCGAGCGUUAUCCGGAUUUAUUGGGUUUAAAGGGAGCGUAGGCGGACGCUUAAGUCAGUUGUGAAAGUUUGCGGCUCAACCGUAAAAUUGCAGUUGAUACUGGGUGUCUUGAGUACAGUAGAGGCAGGCGGAAUUCGUGGUGUAGCGGUGAAAUGCUUAGAUAUCACGAAGAACUCCGAUUGCGAAGGCAGCCUGCUGGACUGUAACUGACGCUGAUGCUCGAAAGUGUGGGUAUCAAACAGGAUUAGAUACCCUGGUAGU
rnacentral:rRNA from 1 species